rnacentral:rRNA from 1 species
UGGGGAAUAUUGGACAAUGGGCGCAAGCCUGAUCCAGCCAUGCCGCGUGAGUGAUGAAGGCCUUAGGGUUGUAAAGCUCUUUUAUCCGGGACGAUAAUGACGGUACCGGAAGAAUAAGCCCCGGCUAACUUCGUGCCAGCAGCCGCGGUAAUACGAAGGGGGCUAGCGUUGCUCGGAAUCACUGGGCGUAAAGGGCGCGUAGGCGGACAUUUAAGUCAGGGGUGAAAUCCCGGGGCUCAACCUCGGAAUUGCCUUUGAUACUGGGUGUCUCGAGUCCGGAAGAGGUAAGUGGAACUGCGAGUGUAGAGGUGAAAUUCGUAGAUAUUCGCAAGAACACCAGUGGCGAAGGCGGCUUACUGGUCCGGUUCUGACGCUGAGGCGCGAAAGCGUGGGGAGCAAACA